rnacentral:rRNA from 1 species
AUUGAACGCUGGCGGAAUGCUUUACACAUGCAAGUCGAACGGCAGCACGGACUUCGGUCUGGUGGCGAGUGGCGAACGGGUGAGUAAUGUAUCGGAAAGUGCCCAGUCGUGGGGGAUAACGUAGUGAAAAUUACGCUAAUACCGCAUACGAUCUAUGGAUGAAAGCGGGGGAUCGCAAGACCUCGCGCGAUUGGAGCGGCCGAUAUCAGAUUAGGGAGUUGGUGGGGUAAAGGCCCACCAAGACAACGACCGGUAGGUGGUGUGAGAGGACGACCAGCCACACUGGAACUGAGACACGGUCCAGACUCCUACGGGAGACAGCAGUGGGGAAUUUUGGACAAUGGGCGAAAGCCUGAUCCAGCCAUUCCGCGUGCAGGAUGAAGGCCCUCGGGUUGUAAACUGCUUUUGUACAGAACGAAAAGGUUUCUACUAAUACUAGGAGCUCAUGACGGUACUGUAAGAAUAAGCACCGGCUAACUACGUGCCAGCCGCCGCCGUAA